UGGGGAAUUUUGGACAAUGGGCGAAAGCCUGAUCCAGCAAUGCCGCGUGUGUGAAGAAGGCCUUCGGGUUGUAAAGCACUUUUGUCCGGAAAGAAAUCCUUGGCUCUAAUACAGUCGGGGGAUGACGGUACCGGAAGAAUAAGCACCGGCUAACUACGUGCCAGCAGCCGCGGUAAUACGUAGGGUGCAAGCGUUAAUCGGAAUUACUGGGCGUAAAGCGUGCGCAGGCGGUUUGCUAAGACCGAUGUGAAAUCCCCGGGCUCAACCUGGGAACUGCAUUGGUGACUGGCAGGCUAGAGUAUGGCAGAGGGGGGUAGAAUUCCACGUGUAGCAGUGAAAUGCGUAGAGAUGUGGAGGAAUACCGAUGGCGAAGGCAGCCCCCUGGGCCAAGUACUGACGCUCAUGCACGAAAGCGUGGGGAGCAAACAGGAUUAGAUACCCUGGUAGUCCACGCCCCUAAACGAUGUCAACUAGUUGUUGGGGAUUCAUUUCCUUAGUAACGUAGCUAACGCGUGAAGUUGACCGCCUGGGGAGUACGGUCGCAAGAUUAAAACUCAAAGGAAUUGACGGGGUCAUAGCUGUUUCCU
rnacentral:rRNA from 1 species